GUUCUCAUGCAUGUCUAUACUAUUUUAACGUUUGCUUUGGUGUCAAAACUCAUUCUCAUCAUCUGCUACUGUGGUCUGUAUUCGCAGUCUUGCUGCAACUGCUGCGUCUCUGGUGGCUCUAGGUUGGAAAGAGGGUGCUGUUGGGUUGGGUUUUCGGAAAUUAGUUUCGUCGCAGGUCAACUCGAGGGGGUACAAAUGCUGCACUGCACGCUCCAACUCUCCAUUGACUGUUCGUAACUUGGCUCCCCGCACGACGCCAUCUUUACCUUUAAUCAGCUCCGAGACUACCCCGAGUUUCCAUGUGUUCCGAUUUUUG